GUGCAUGUGAGGGAUCUAGGUUGCACUGUGCUUAUGAGAAUCUAAUACCUAUUGAUCUGUCACUUUCUCCCAUCACGCUCAGGUGGGACCAUCCAGUUUCAGGAAAACAAGCUUAACACGCCCACUGAUUCUACAUUAUGCUCCUACCUCCCGGCAGCCUCGCCAGGCCCAGAACUCUCUCCAGUCAGCCUCUACAGACCAAGCUCAUGACUCACAAUGGCCUAUUGAGGCCCAUACCCUACCUCACGGCAGUCUCCGCAGAUGAGCCUACUGCCUCACAACAGCCUCCACAGGCACAGCUCCAUCGUUACAAUGGCCUCUUUAGACCCAGCUCCUGCCUCCCAGCCUUCUCUCCAGGCCCUGAACUUUCUCCGUGGGACCAUCCAGUUUCAGGAAAACAAGCUUAACACGCCCACUGAUUCUACAUUAUGCUCCUACCUCCCGGCAGCCUCGCCAGGCCCAGAACUCUCUCCAGUCAGCCUCUACAGACCAAGCUCAUGACUCACAAUGGCCUAUUGAGGCCCAUACCCUACCUCACGGCAGUCUCCGCAGAUGAGCCUACUGCCUCACAACAGCCUCCACAGGCACAGCUCCAUCGUUACAAUGGCCUCUUUAGACCCAGCUCCUGCCUCCCAGCCUUCUCUCCAGGCCCUGAACUUUCUCCGUGGGACCAUCCAGUUUCAGGAAAACAAGCUUAACACGCCCACUGAUUCUACAUUAUGCUCCUACCUCCCGGCAGCCUCGCCAGGCCCAGAACUCUCUCCAGUCAGCCUCUACAGACCAAGCUCAUGACUCACAAUGGCCUAUUGAGGCCCAUACCCUACCUCACGGCAGUCUCCGCAGAUGAGCCUACUGCCUCACAACAGCCUCCACAGGCACAGCUCCAUCGUUACAAUGGCCUCUUUAGACCCAGCUCCUGCCGCCCAGCCUUCUCUCCAGGCCCUGAACUUUCUCCGUAAGUUGAGGUAGCUGGGACUGUAGGUAUACAUGACGAUACUUGGCUAAUUUUUAAAUUGUUUUGCAGACAUGGGGUCUCACUUUGUUGGCCAGGCUGGUGUCAAACUAAUGGCCUCAAGUGACCCUUCCACCCCUGCCUCCCAUCCUCGAGGUAUGUGCCACCACAAGGGGCACUUGUUCAAUUUUCUAAAGAAAAAAUUUCUAAAGUAAGGCUGUGGAUGAUGGCAGGAAGAUAAAAGAAAAACAGAAGAAUAAGUUAAAAUGACUUAUUCACACAUAUUCUUUUGACAGCAAGAAGAACUCUUAGUAUAUACAUUCCUUACAAACAAACAAACGGCAGAUAAACAAUGUUGUAUAGGAACUUCAACACACACUGUACAAUCUUCCCACUUUGCUGACAUAAG